GCGGAUGUGGCGAAAUUGGCAGACGCGCAGGUUUCAGGUUCCUGUGGGCAACCGUGCAGGUUCAACUCCUGUCAUCCGCACCA
rnacentral:tRNA from 1 species